GCGCGUUCCUCGUUGGUUGUUAGCCCCGUCCCCAAGCCUAUAUAACCUGAUGACCUCACCUUCCCCGGUCGCAUAUCCUAGAAAUCAUCUGGAGCCGAGCGAACCGCAAGAACUGAGGGUCGUGUGCAUCUCGCCGAGAGAGAGAGGGUGAGUCGAGGGUUCUGCUGUCGCAAGAGUAUCUUCGGGUGCGCCAUGGCGGGCGUGAGGUUACGUGUCAUC
rnacentral:lncRNA from 7 species